AACGAACGCUGGCGGCGUGUUUAAGACAUGCAAGUCGCACGGGAUAAGACAUGUAGUAAUACUUGUUUUAUUUAGUGGCGUACGGGUGAGUAACACGUGAAUUACAUGCCCUAUAGUGGGGAAUAGCCCAGGGAAACUUGGAUUAAUACCCCAUGGUAUCGAAAGAUUAAAGGUGGCCGCAAGGCUGUCGCUAUAGGAUUGGUUCGCGCCCUAUCAGCUUGUUGGUGAGGUAACGGCUCACCAAGGCAAUGACGGGUACCUGGUCUGAGAGGACGAUCAGGCACACUGGAACUGAGACGCGGUCCAGACACCUACGGGUGGCAGCAGUCGAGAAUAAUUCACAAUGGGGGCAACCCUGAUGGUGCAACGCCGCGUGGAGGAUGACGGUCUUCGGAUUGUAAACUCCUGUCAUCUGGGAGAAAGACCUGACGGUAAAUAGCCGGCAGGGUUGAUAGUACCAGAAGAGGAAGGGACGGCUAACUUCGUGCCAGCAGCCGCCGUAA
rnacentral:rRNA from 1 species